rnacentral:rRNA from 1 species
AUUGAACGCUGGCGGCGUGCUUAACACAUGCAAGUCGAUCGGUAACAGGUGUAGCAAUACAUGCUGACGAGAGGCGGACGGGUGAGGAACGCUUGGGAAUCUGCCUAUCAGCGGGGGACAACCCGGGGAAACUCGGGCUAAUACCGCAUACGCUCUACGGAGGAAAGCCGGGGACCGCAAGGCCUGGCACUGAUAGAUGAGCCCAAGUCGGAUUAGCUAGUUGGCGGGGUAACGGCCAACCAAGGCGACGAUCCGUAGCUGGUCUGAGAGGACGAUCAGCCACACCGGAUCUGAGACACGGUCCGGACUCCUACGGGAGGCAGCAGUGGGGAAUAUUGGACAAUGGGGGAAACCCUGAUCCAGCGACGCCGCGUGGGUGAAGAAGGCCUGCGGGUUGUAAAGCCCUUUCGGUAGGGAAGAAAUCUCUUGCUCUAACAAAGCAGGAGUUUGACUUAACCUACAUAAGAAGCACCGGCUAACUCUGUGCCAGCAGCCGCCGUAACAC